UAACUGAAGAGUUUGAUCAUGGCUCAGAUUGAACGCUGGCGGCAGGCUUAACACAUGCAAGUCGAGCGGGGGAAGGUAGCUUGCUACCGGACCUAGCGGCGGACGGGUGAGUAAUGCUUAGGAAUCUGCCUAUUAGUGGGGGACAACAUCUCGAAAGGGAUGCUAAUACCGCAUACGUCCUACGGGAGAAAGCAGGGGAUCUUCGGACCUUGCGCUAAUAGAUGAGCCUAAGUCGGAUUAGCUAGUUGGUGGGGUAAAGGCCUACCAAGGCGACGAUCUGUAGCGGGUCUGAGAGGAUGAUCCGCCACACUGGGACUGAGACACGGCCCAGACUCCUACGGGAGGCAGCAGUGGGGAAUAUUGGACAAUGGGGGGAACCCUGAUCCAGCCAUGCCGCGUGUGUGAAGAAGGCCUUAUGGUUGUAAAGCACUUUAAGCGAGGAGGAGGCUACUCUAGUUAAUACCUAGAGAUAGUGGACGUUACUCGCAGAAUAAGCACCGGCUAACUCUGUGCCAGCAGCCGCGGUAAUACAGAGGGUGCGAGCGUUAAUCGGAUUUACUGGGCGUAAAGCGUGCGUAGGCGGCUUAUUAAGUCGGAUGUGAAAUCCCCGAGCUUAACUUGGGAAUUGCAUUCGAUACUGGUGAGCUAGAGUAUGGGAGAGGAUGGUAGAAUUCCAGGUGU
rnacentral:rRNA from 1 species